AAAUGAUCUCAGCUUUUCCACUUUUGAUAAUGGUGAUAAAAUCUUGCAAGUUGGGAAGGCUUUUUGCAGGGGUGGGGAAAACAAAUGUGGCCUAAUGUGGCUCUCCCCUUCAUGAGUGGUAGCGUGAUAAAAAUAAGAUUCUUAGUGUAUACAUUAUUUACUAUUACGUGAAUACUUACAUGACAUAAAAUUGAUUCUUGAUGGCCAAAGGUAUCCCUGUCUCAAAUGGGCUCAUCUGGAAACAUCAGAGACACUUUGGAAUUGGAGCUUUCUGAAAACUGGGAAUGGGGAAUAAAGGAAUGGAACAUGGAAUACAAAUGGAAGCUCAUUAUCUAGGCAACUUCUUUAGAGACACAAAUGAAAAAGUCCAGAAAGAGCUGGAUGCUGUGCUGGGUUCAUCCCAUCUAAUCUGCUGUGAGGACUGGAAGAAACUGCGUUACACAAAUGCUGUGAUUCAUGAGAUCAUGCACUAUGGGUACUCAUUAUGCCAAACAUAGACUCAGCUCUUUUCAACCCUAAAUACUGGGACACCCUUCACCAGUUUAACCCUGGUUAUUUUUUGGACAAGGAUGGAAAUUUUGUGGCCAGAGAAGCCUUCCUAGCCUUUUCAGCAGGCAAGUUCACUGACAGCUA
rnacentral:lncRNA from 1 species